AAUGAAGGGUAAACUUUGGGGUAUUACAGGAACCAAGAAUAUAUUCUGGAGCCACCCAACUAUGAGGAGAAACUACACAUUUACAAAUCCCAGGUAAUAAUUCCUCACUCUAUCUUUGAGAAAACCCAUGCACUCAUGGGUCCAAUGUAUGAUCCUUCUGUGUAUCUUACCAACAUUAGGGAUUUUUUCCCAUCUUACCAUAGGGACAAACCCGUACUUAGUGUCAAAAGACCUUUGAACUUAGAGUACAUGACCGUUUUGUU
rnacentral:lncRNA from 1 species